rnacentral:rRNA from 1 species
GACGAACGCUGGCGGCGUGCUUAACACAUGCAAGUCGAACGGAAAGGCCCUGCUUGCCGGGUACUCGAGUGGCGAACGGGUGAGUAACACGUGGGUGAUCUGCCCUGCACUUCGGGAUAAGCCUGGGAAACUGGGUCUAAUACCGGAUAGGAGCCAUUUUUAGUGUGAUGGUUGGAAAGUUUUUUCGGUGUAGGAUGAGCUCGCGGCCUAUCAGCUUGUUGGUGGGGUAAUGGCCUACCAAGGCGGCGACGGGUAGCCGGCCUGAGAGGGUGGACGGCCACAUUGGGACUGAGAUACGGCCCAGACUCCUACGGGAGGCAGCAGUGGGGAAUAUUGCACAAUGGGCGCAAGCCUGAUGCAGCGGCGCCGCGUGGGGGAUGACGGCCUUCGGGUUGUAAACUCGUUUCGCUAGGGACGAAGCUUUUUGUGACGGUACCUAGAUAAGAAGCACCGGCUAACUACGUG